GACGAACGCUGGCGGCGUGCUUAACACAUGCAAGUCGAACGGAAAGGCCCUGCUUUUGUGCGGUGCUCGAGUUGCGAACGGGUGAGUAACACUUGAGUAACCUGCCCUUGACUUUGGGAUAACUUCAGGAAACUGGGGCUAAUACCGGAUAGGAGCUCCCGCUGCAUGGUGGGGGUUGGAUAGUUUCGGCGGUUGGGGAUGGACUCGCGGCUUAUUAGCUUGUUGGUUGGGUAGUGGCUGACCAAGGCUUUGACGGGUAGCCGGGCUGAGAGGGUGACCGGCCAAAUUGGGACUGAGAUGCGGCCCAGACUACUACGGGAGGCAGCGGAGGAGAAGAUUGCACAAUGGGCGGAAGCCUAAUGCAACAACGCAGCGUGGGGGAUGACGGCCUUCGGGUUGUAAACCGCUGUCGCCUGUGACGAGACGUGAGUGACGGUAAUGGGUAAAGAAGCACCGGCUAACUACGUG
rnacentral:rRNA from 1 species